GAGAGUUUGAUCCUGGCUCAGGACGAACGCUGGCGGCGUGCCUAAUACAUGCAAGUCGUACGCUUCUUUUUCCACCGGAGCUUGCUCCACCGGAAAAAGAAGAGUGGCGAACGGGUGAGUAACACGUGGGUAACCUGCCCAUCAGAAGGGGAUAACACUUGGAAACAGGUGCUAAUACCGUAUAACAAUCGAAACCGCAUGGUUUUGAUUUGAAAGGCGCUUUCGGGUGUCGCUGAUGGAUGGACCCGCGGUGCAUUAGCUAGUUGGUGAGGUAACGGCUCACCAAGGCCACGAUGCAUAGCCGACCUGAGAGGGUGAUCGGCCACAUUGGGACUGAGACACGGCCCAAACUCCUACGGGAGGCAGCAGUAGGGAAUCUUCGGCAAUGGACGAAAGUCUGACCGAGCAACGCCGCGUGAGUGAAGAAGGUUUUCGGAUCGUAAAACUCUGUUGUUAGAGAAGAACAAGGAUGAGAGUAACUGUUCAUCCCUUGACGGUAUCUAACCAGAAAGCCACGGCUAACUACGUGCCAGCAGCCGCGGUAAUACGUAGGUGGCAAGCGUUGUCCGGAUUUAUUGGGCGUAAAGCGAGCGCAGGCGGUUUCUUAAGUCUGAUGUGAAAGCCCCCGGCUCAAC
rnacentral:rRNA from 1 species